rnacentral:rRNA from 1 species
CACGUAGGGUGCGAGCGUUGUCCGGAAUUAUUGGGCGUAAAGAGCUCGUAGGCGGUGUGUCGCGUCGGCCGUGAAAACCUGCAGCUUAACUGUGGGCUUGCGGUCGAUACGGGCAUCACUGGAGUUCGGCAGGGAGACUGGAAUUCCUGGUGUAGCGGUGAAAUGCGCAGAUAUCAGGAGGAACACCGGUGGCGAAGGCGGGUCUCUGGGCCGAUACUGACGCUGAGGAGCGAAAGCGUGGGAGCGAACAGG